rnacentral:tRNA from 1 species
GGAGAAUUAGCUCAGUUGGGAGAGCAUCGCUCUUACAAGGCGCAGGUCGUGGGUUCGAGUCCCUCAUUCUCCACCA